GACGAACGCUGGCGGCGUGCCUAACACAUGCAAGUCGAGCGGAGACAUGUUGCGGAAGUUUUCGGAUGGAAGCGAUAUGUUUUAGCGGCGGACGGGUGAGUAACGCGUAAGCAAUCUGCCUAUCAGAGGGGAAUAACAGUGAGAAAUCAUUGCUAAUACCGCAUAUGCCAUAGUUAUCGCAUGAUAAUAGUGGGAAAGGAGCAAUCCGCUGAUAGAUGAGCUUGCACCUGAUUAGCUAGUUGGCGGGGUAACGGCCCACCAAGGCGACGAUCAGUAGCCGGACUGAGAGGUUGAACGGCCACAUUGGGACUGAGACACGGCCCAG
rnacentral:rRNA from 1 species